rnacentral:lncRNA from 12 species
GGUCCUUACUCCUGCACACACCUGCAGUGAUAAUGUGGCUGAAGGUUCACCUUUCUGAGUCUCGGUGGCUAGGUAGGAGUCAUGAAGCCUCAUAAAUCCAGGCUCUCAUAGUCACACGGCUUCAUUAAUAAACUCCUGAGGAUGAGAUGUUAAACCCACACUCCUAAUAGGUUUAUAGCUUUCUGCUUGGGGUUGCUGUCAGGGGGAGGUGUUCUAUUUUUAUCUCUUUUGCCUUUGAUCUGAUUGCUAUUCUGUAAAGGAUCUUGGUCAUCCGGAGUGUAUUUAGUUCAUUCGGCUGGGACACUUCCUUAAUGGUAUAGAGAUAACCAAUUGUACAGUUUAUAUUGGAAUUGAGAAUUUUGUCUCCCUCAAGAAUAUUAUAAUCUUAACUUAUUGUUUGAGGCUCCAUUGCUUUUGGAUAAAUACGAAAAUGUGUUUUCUCUUUCUCUAUUCCAGUGGGCAGUUUUUCAAAUGGACUGUAACAGAAGCUUCUCUGUUUGCAUUGGGAGUCAUCUCAGGUUUGCAUUCAGAAAACCUAAUAAAAAUGAGAGAGGCAAGCAACUGAGCUAAAGCAGAGGAAUGGAAAGAAGUUGUUUGAUGAGGAUUAUGCAGAAUAAUGGCACAGAACUGUCCUUGCAGAAGGACUUGGCAGUUUCUCAGGAAGACCCCAUUUUGGAAGACACUUGUUUGAUAAGCAUCUCAAGUGUGACUGCCUUUGACCUCUUCAAGGACAGUGUUGCUUCAGGACGCCAGCAGGAGCCACUGGAGUGGGGAGCCAGAGACAGCACUCCUGGCAGUGUGCGAUGUGAUUGAUACCCUCAGACUCUCUGGGGAAUCUUCAGUAAAAUCUCA